rnacentral:rRNA from 1 species
GACGAACGCUGGCGGCGUGCUUAACACAUGCAAGUCGAGCGGUAAGGCCCUUUCGGGGGUACACGAGCGGCGAACGGGUGAGUAACACGUGGGUGACCUGCCCUCAGCUCUGGGAUAAGCCUGGGAAACUGGGUCUAAUACUGGAUAUGACUCCACGGUGCAUGUCGUGGGGUGGAAAGCCUUGUGCGGCUGAGGAUGGGCCCGCGGCCUAUCAGCUUGUUGGUGGGGUGAUGGCCUACCAAGGCGACGACGGGUAGCCGGCCUGAGAGGGCGACCGGCCACACUGGGACUGAGACACGGCCCAGACUCCGUACGGGAGGCAGCAGGUGGGGAAUCUUGCGCAAGUGGGCGAAAGCCUGACGCAGCGACGCCGCGUGAGGGAUGACGGCCU